AGUGAACGCUGGCGGUAUGCCUAACACAUGCAAGUCGAACGGCAGCACAGUAAGAGCUUGCUCUUACGGGUGGCGAGUGGCGUACGUGUGAGGAAUACAUCGGAAUCUACUUUUUCGGGGGGGAUAACGUAGGGAAACUUACGCUAAUACCUCAUACGACCUACGGGUGAAAGCAGGGGAUCUUCGGACCUUGCGCGAUUGAAUGAGCCGAUGUCGGAUUAGCUAGUUGGCGGGGUAAAGGCCCACCAAGGCGACGAUCCGUAGCUGGUCUGAGAGGAUGAGCAGCCAACCUGGAACAGAGACACGGUCCAGCCUCCCACGGGAGGCCGCAGUGGGGCAUAUUGGACAAUGGGCGCAUGCCUGAUCCAGCCAUACAGCGUGGGUGAAGAAGGCCUUCGGGUUUUAAAGCCCUUUUGUUGGGAAAGAAAAGCAGCAGGUUAAUACCCCGCUGUUCUGACGGUACCAAAAGAAUAAGCACCGGCUAACUUCGUG
rnacentral:rRNA from 1 species